rnacentral:misc_RNA from 1 species
UCCACUCGGCCCACGUGGGCAUCUAAG